UACGUAGGGUGCGAGCGUUGUCCGGAAUUACUGGGCGUAAAGAGCUCGUAGGUGGUUUGUCGCGUUGUUCGUGAAAACUCACAGCUCAACUGUGGGCGUGCGGGCGAUACGGGCAGACUGGAGUACUGCAGGGGAGACUGGAAUUCCUGGUGUAGUCGGUGGAAUGCGCAGAUAUCAGGAGGAACACCGGUGGCGAAGGCGGGUCUCUGGGGCAGUAACUGACGCUGAGGAGCGAAAGCGUGGGGGAGCGAACAGG
rnacentral:rRNA from 1 species